rnacentral:lncRNA from 1 species
UGAUUUGGAGAUGCAGGAAUGAUAUUAGAUUUGAGAGGAAACAUUUUGAUGAAGAUCAUUUAUGCCGUGAGAUUGCCCUCCUUAUUCAUGCUCGUGGUAGAAGUUGCAAGAAAUGGAUGAAAGGACUUAGAAUUCUCAACAAUUAUCCUUAGUUCACUACUUGUUAGAAUAGAUUUAGCUAGUUAUACUAGUUGAUUGUAUUAGCAAUGGUAGUUAGUCGAUACUACCAUUAAGAACACUCAUAUGUAUAUUUGUUAUAUCAAUAGAAGCCAAUUUUAAUUAAAA